GACACGGUCCAAACUCCUACGGGAGGCAGCAGUGAGGAAUAUUGGUCAAUGGACGAGAGUCUGAACCAGCCAAGUAGCGUGAAGGAUGAAGGUCCUACGGAUUGUAAACUUCUUUUAUAAGGGAAUAAACCCUCCCACGUGUGGGAGCUUGUAUGUACCUUAUGAAUAAGCAUCGGCUAACUCCGUGCCAGCAGCCGCGGUAAUACGGAGGAUGCGAGCGUUAUCCGGAUUUAUUGGGUUUAAAGGGAGCGCAGACGGGUCGUUAAGUCAGCUGUGAAAGUUUGGGGCUCAACCUUAAAAUUGCAGUUGAUACUGGCGUCCUUGAGUGCGGUUGAGGUGUGCGGAAUUCGUGGUGUAGCGGUGAAAUGCUUAGAUAUCACGAAGAACUCCGAUUGCGAAGGCAGCACACUAAUCCGUAACUGACGUUCAUGCUCGAAAGUGUGGGUAUCAAACAGGAUUAGAUACCCUGGUAGUCCACACGGUAAACGAUGAAUACUCGCUGUUUGCGAUAUACUGCAAGCGGCCAAGCGAAAGCGUUAAGUAUUCCACCUGGGGAGUACGCCGGCAACGGUGAAACUCAAAGGAAUUGACGGGGGCCCGCACAAGCGGAGGAACAUGUGGUUUAAUUCGAUGAUACGCGAGGAACCUUACCCGGGCUUAAAUUGCAAAGGAAUAAUCUGGAAACAGGUUAGUCUUCGGACCUUUGUGAAGGUGCUGCAUGGUUGUCGUCAGCUCGUGCCGUGAGGUGUCGGCUUAAGUGCCAUAACGAGCGCAACCCUUAUCUUUAGUUACUAACAGGUCAUGCUGAGGACUCUAGAGAGACUGCCGUCGUAAGAUGUGAGGAAGGUGGGGAUGACGUCAAAUCAGCACGGCCCUUACGUCCGGGGCUACACACGUGUUACAAUGGGGGGUACAGAAGGCAGCUACCUGGCGACAGGAUGCUAAUCCCAAAAACCUCUCUCAGUUCGGAUCGAAGUCUGCAACCCGACUUCGUGAAGCUGGAUUCGCUAGUAAUCGCGCAUCAGCCAUGGCGCGGUGAAUACGUUCCCGGGCCUUGUACACACCGCCCGUCAAGCCAUGAAAGCCGGGGGUACCUGAAGUGCGUAACCGCAAGGAGCGCCCUAGGGUAAAACCGGUAAUUGGGGCUAAGUCGUAACAAGGUAGCCGUACCGGAAGGUGCGGCUG
rnacentral:rRNA from 1 species